rnacentral:lncRNA from 1 species
CAUAAACAAGUGCUGCUGGCAAUUAUACUGGUUUUUAUUCUGGUAUAACAUUUUUGGAGCUAAACAAUGAUGCUAGUAGAUGAUGUGUGUUAUAUGGAGACAUAAUAAGCAGAACCCCCAGCUGAUAGAUGCAUUGAUGGAUAGUAUGCUAGGGCUUACCCUGAGGAUAGUACAGAGUAGCAACAUGGCCUUCCAUUUCUUAAAUGUCCAAGUGGAAACUGAGGGAGGUGACUACGUUAAUAAUGUAUAUAGGAAACCAACCUACACACCGGUUCUUAUACUUGCUUGAUCACAGGAUCCGAUGGCUUAUAAGUUAGCCGCUUUCAGGGCAAUGUUUAAAAGGGUCUAUACUCACACCGCCAAGUGGCAGGACAGGGACAAAGAACUAGCAUAUAUUUAUGCCCAGGGACACAAGUAUGGGUAUAAUAAUAAGGUUAUGGAAGAUCUGUGGAAGAGAAUAAAGAGCUUUAUGGAAACACCCCCUCCUAUGAGAUCCUAGGGUAAAUGGACUGAAGACACCCGUCCCUUCUCCCAGAUUACAUACUAUAAGAGUACAGAUAGAAUCCUAAGCAGUGCCCUAAAAGGUGGGACCAAGAGGAUGGCCAAAAAAUGAGGCCCCACGCUCUUUGCCAUGCUCUGAAAUGAGAAAGACCUGGUAGUGAAC